UACGGAGGGUGCAAGCGUUAAUCGGAAUUACUGGGCGUAAAGCGUGCGCAGGCGGUUUUGUAAGUCUGACGUGAAAUCCCCGGGCUCAACCUGGGAAUUGCGUUGGAGACUGCAAGGCUGGAGUCUGGCAGAGGGGGGUAGAAUUCCACGUGUAGCAGUGAAAUGCGUAGAGAUGUGGAGGAAUACCGAUGGCGAAGGCAGCCCCCUGGGAUGAUACUGACGCUCAUGCACGAAAGCGUGGGGAGCAAACAGG
rnacentral:rRNA from 1 species